rnacentral:rRNA from 1 species
AACGAACGCUGGCGGCAGGCCUAACACAUGCAAGUCGAACGAGAAAGUUCCCUUCGGGGAACGAGUACAGUGGCGAACGGGUGAGUAACGCGUGGAUAACGUGCCCUUCUGUGGGGAACAACCAAGGGAAACUUUGGCUAAUACCGCAUAAGCUCUUCGGAGGAAAGGUUGCCUCUCUACGAUGCAAUCGCGGAAGGAGCGGUCCGCGUCCCAUUAGCUAGUUGGUGGGGUAAUGGCCUACCAAGGCGACGAUGGGUAGCCGGCCUGAGAGGGUGAUCGGCCACACUGGGACUGAGACACGGCCCAGACUCCUACGGGAGGCUGCAGUGGGGAAUUUUGCGCAAUGAGCGAAAGCUUGACGCAGCGACGCCGCGUGCGGGAUGAAGGCUCUCGGGUCGUAAACCGCUGUCGUGAGGGACGAACAAGCUUGGGAUGAAUAAGCCCAGGCCCUGACGGUACCUCAUGAGAAAGCCCCGGCUAACUACGUG